UUUGAAGAGAGAGAAAGUGGUUGCAGUUUUAAUGACUGAGGUUGAAGAGGCUGUUGGAGAUGCUCUAAGGGUUUGAUUAAAAAAAUGGUAAUAUACAUUGUUGGUUAUCGUAUUUUGACUCGAUUUUGUUUUUUAUUACUGCAUUUUAUUUUUCUCUAGGCUAAACUGGCGAUUUGUUCCUUGAACUUGUACCUAAUUUUCAAUUGAUCCCUAUCUUUUUAAAAAAAAAUUAAGGAUAUUAAAUGUUCCCUUGUUGUCUAAAAAACAACAUGUGUUUCUUUUCUUCUUCUUUUUUCCCUUAACGCUUUGAACCAAACCUUUUGGCUGGUUUUAACUAAAGC
rnacentral:lncRNA from 1 species